UACGUAGGGACCAAGCGUUGUUCGGAUUUACUGGGCGUAAAGGGCGCGUAGGCGGCUUAACAAGUCACUUGUGAAAUCUCCGGGCUUAACUCGGAACGGCCAAGUGAAACUGUCAAGCUAGAGUGCAGAAGGGGCAAUCGGAAUUCUUGGUGUAGCGGUGAAAUGCGUAGAUAUCAAUAGGAACUCCGGUGGCGAAGGCGGCACGCUGGACCUCUUCUGACGCUGAGGCGCGAAAGCCAGGGGAGCAAACGGG
rnacentral:rRNA from 1 species